GGUGGCUCAGUGGUAGAGUGCUUGCUUUGCAUGCAUGAGACCCUGGUUCAAUUCCUAGCACCA
rnacentral:tRNA from 1 species